rnacentral:rRNA from 1 species
AUUGAACGCUGGCGGCAGGCCUAACACAUUCAAGUCGAGCGAGCGGCGGACGGGCGAGUAAUGUCUGGGAAACUGCCUGAUGGAGGUGGAUAACUACUGGAAACGGUAGCUAAUACCGCAUACCAUCAGAUGUGCCCAGAUGGGAUUAGCUUGUAGUUGGGGUAACGGCUCACAUAGGCGACGAUCCCUAGCUGGUCUGAGAGGAUGACCAGCAAAACUGGAACUGAGACACGGUCCAGACGCCUACGGGAGGAAGAAGUGGGGAAUAUUGCAAAAGGGGGGCAAGCGUGAUGCAGCCAUGCCGCGUGUGUGAAGAAGGCCUUGGGGUUGUAAAGCACUUUCAGCGGGGAGGCGUUACCCGAAGAAGAAGCACCGGCUAACUCCGUGCCAGAAGCCGCGGUAAUUC